rnacentral:rRNA from 1 species
UACGUAGGCAGCAAGCGUUGUUCGGAAUUACUGGGCGUAAAGAGUGUGUAGGCGGUGUUCCAAGUCUGGUGUGAAAUCUCCCGGCUUAACUGGGAGGGUGCAUUAGAAACUGGAAUGCUAGAGGAUGGGAGAGGUAAGCGGAAUUCCUGGUGUAGCGGUGAAAUGCGUAGAUAUCAGGAAGAACACCCGUGGCUAAGGCGGCUCUCUAGUACGGUACUGGACGCU